GCAGUGAUGGCUCAGUGAUAGAAUUCUUGCCUUCUGUGCAGGAGACCUGGGUUCGAUUCCCAGCCAAAGCA
rnacentral:tRNA from 1 species